rnacentral:rRNA from 1 species
CCUAAAAUAAAGCCUUAAUAACAUUAUAUUUAUCAACUUCCUCACAAUGUCUUAAUAAAACAUUUUAUAUUUUAAGUAUAGGUGAUAGAAAAAAAUCUAAGCGCUAUAGAAGUAGUAUCGCAAGGGAAAAAUGAAAUAAAAAUGAAACAUUUAAAGCCACUAAUAGCAGAGAGUUCAUCUCGUACCUUUUGCAUCAUGGCCCAGCAAGCCAAAUUAAGCAAAAUGUAUUUUAAGUUUAAUACCCCGAAACUAGGCGAGCUACUUCGGAACAGCCUCUUGGGCCAACCCGUCUCUGUUGCAAUAGAGUGGGAAGAUUCUUAAGUAGAAGUGAAAAGCCUAUCGAGCCUAGAAAUAGCUGGUUAUUCAUGAAAAGAAUAUAAGUUCUGCCUUAAGCCAUCACAUGAAUUUAAACAAAUCAACUGACUUAAGAGUUAUUUAAAUAAGGAACAGCUUAUUUAAACCAGGACACAACCUAUACAAAAGGGUAAGUAUAUUACAUUUUUAUUAAGUGGGCCUAAAAGCAGCCAUCUUUUAAAAAGCGUUAAAGCUUAAUUUUAACUUUCAUUAAAAUUCCCAUAAAUGAAACAAACCCUUAUUUUGUAAUGAAUGACCCCAUACUAAUAUGGGAGACACCAUGCUGGGAUUAGUAACAAGAAUAAAAUAUUCUCCAAAAUGUAAACAUAAACCAAACUGGAUCAUCCAUUGGUAAUUAACGAACAUGACUUAAUUGCAGCAACACUGACAGGAAAACCCUGCACUAAAAUAUCGUUAACCUAACACCAGAACAUUACUGGAAAGAUUAAAAAAAAGAGAAGGAAUUCGGCAAAUCACGGCCCCGCCUGUUUACCAAAAACAUCGCCUCUUGCACCUACAUAAGAGGUCUAGCCUGCCCAGUGAAAUUUAAACGGCCACGGAAUCCUAACCGUGCGAAGGUAGCAUAAUAACUUGUUCUUUAAAUGGGGACUUGUAUCAAUGGCAUCACGAGGGCUUUACUGUCUCCUCUUUUUAAUCAGUGAAAUUGAUCUUCCCGUGAAGAAGCGGGAAUAUACUUAUAAGACGAGAAGACCCCAUGGAGCUUUAAAUCUAACAGCAACUUUUUAAUAUAUAACCCUUAAAAUUGCACAAAAGUACUGCUGCAACGUUUUAGGUUGGGGUGACCACGGAGUAAAAAUUAACCUCCACGACGGAAAGAUUAAAAUCUUUAUUCAAGAACUACUGUUCAAAAAAUUAGCACACUAACGAACACUGAUCCGAUAAUCGAUCAACGGACCAAGUUACCCUGGGGAUAACAGCGCAAUCUGCUUCGAGAGCCCAUAUCGACAAGCAGGCUUACGACCUCGAUGUUGGAUCAGGGUAUCCCAGUGGUGCAGCCGCUACUAAAGGUUCGUUGUUCAACGAUUAAACCCUACGUUUU